AGGCCAAUAAUGGGAGCUGAGUGAGGGGGAGGAGGAAGAGGGUGGCUUUGCUUCCCUGGGGUGGGGGGUUCUAUUCCCUAAUGGCCAUUGGAAAUCAGCAUUCAUACUUGGCAAGAAAUAGCUAACCUCUACCUUGGGGAGCAUAGGCUUGGAGAGGAUGUGCCUACUGCAACCACUGGCUUUCAAAAGACUGGGCUUUCUUUGCUGAUGCUGGAUCAAACGUACUGAGACAUGGCCACAGAAGCUCUGCUGCUUUAUGGACAUGAAAGGUGGGUGACAAAGC
rnacentral:lncRNA from 1 species